GAGAGUUAAGUUGGGUACCCUUCAUCUUAACGGCCAUGGUGGCUGUAGCUAUAUGAAUAUUUUUGAGAAGUUUACUGGCCGGUUAUUAUACACCUGUUGACAUAUCUGCUUACCGAAUUUCUUACAUUUUCUGCUUACUGAACUACUUACAUUUUGCAUACACACUGAAGAUUGGUGAUUAUCCUUGAGACACCUAAGAGAUGGCUUUUUAUUUGGUGCUCUUUUGGUGUGCUGGGGACGCAAGUUAAAAUAAGAGUAUUUAAAGUGAGAAAUACAACAUUUUGAUGUGAAGUAUUCAACUGAGCAGAGUAGUAUUUUUUGCCAUAAAUUACUAACUGAUCUAAAUGUUAACAUAAUCUGUUGACAUAUCUGCUUACCGAACUUCUUACAUUAUCUGCCAACUAAACAUACUGAAGAUUGUCUAUUCAGGCUUUCUAUUUGUGAUUAUCCUUGAGAGACCUAAGAGUUGACUUUGUAUCUAGUGUUCUUUGAGGGUGUGAGGAUGCAAGUUAAAAUAAGAGUAUCUAAAUUGAAAUACAAUGAUAUGGCAAGUAUACAAAUGAGUAGAGAAGUGAUUGUUUGCUUGUGCCAUCUGUUAUACUUUUCUUUGAGUUUAUGUUGAGUGAUUUUUUGGAUGCAGAAAGGUGGUAAGGUUGUCGAUUGCUCAGGUUUUGACUGUGAUCUCACAAAAGCAAAAGGCAGUUCUUCGGGAAGCUUACAAGAACAAGUACUUGCCUCUUGAUCUUCGCCCCAAGAAAACAAGGGCAAUCCGCAAACGUUUGACUAAGCACCAGGUAUCUUUCGUCUAUAUCUGCUCUUAAUAUUCCAUCUCAUUAAUUUGAGUGCUAUUUUGGAGUAGUGAUUGUUUGCCAUAACAACGAAUAGUAACUGAUCUAAAUGUUAAAGGAAGCUGUUGAUGGAUGUCAUUGACAGAAGGUGUUCUUGUUUAUAGAAGCUACAUUGUACCAAGAUGAGAGUUAAGUUGGGUACCCUUCAUCUUAACGGCCAUGGUGGCUGUAGCUAUAUGAAUAUUUUUGAGAAGUUUACUGGCCGGUUAUUAUACACCUGUUGACAUAUCUGCUUACCGAAUUUCUUACAUUUUUGGGUACCCUUCAUCUUAACUGCCAUGGUGGCUGUAGCUAUAUGAAUAUUUUGAGAAGUUUACUGGCCGGUUGUUAUACCCCUGUUGACAUAUCUGCUUACCGAACUUCUUACAUUUUCUGCUUACGGAACUACUUACAUUUUGCAUACACACUGAAGAUUGGUGAUUAUCCUUGAGACACCUAAGAGAUGUCUUUGUAUUCAAUUUGAGUGGAGUAGUGAUUGUUUGCCAUAACAACGAAUAGUAACUGAUCUAAAUGUUAAAGGAAGCUGUUAUUGUAUUCAAUUUGAGUAGAGUAGUGAUUGUUUGCCAUAACAACAAAUAGUAACUGAUCUAAGUGUUAAGGCAAGCUGUUGACGGAUGUCAUUGACAGAAGGUGUUCUUGUUUAUUGAAGCUACAUUGUACCAAGAUGAGAGUUAACCUGGGUACCCUUCAUCUUAACUGCCAUGGUGGCUGUAGUUAUAUGAAUAUUUUUGAGAAGUUUACUGGCCGGUUGUUAUACAUCUGUUGACAUAUCUGCUUACCGAACUUCUUACAUUUUCUGCUUACUGAACUACUUACAUUUUGCAUACACACUGAAGAUUGGUGAUUAUCCUUGAGACACCUAAGAGAUGGCUUUUUAUUUGGUGCUCUUUUGGUGUGCUGGGGACGCAAGUUAAAAUAAGAGUAUUUAAAGUGAGAAAUACAACAUUUUGAUGUGAAGUAUUCAACUGAGCAGAGUAGUAUUUUUUGCCAUAAAUUACUAACUGAUCUAAAUGUUAACAUAAUCUGUUGACAUAUCUGCUUACCGAACUUCUUACAUUAUCUGCCAACUAAACAUACUGAAGAUUGUCUAUUCAGGCUUUCUAUUUGUGAUUAUCCUUGAGAGACCUAAGAGUUGACUUUGUAUCUAGUGUUCUUUGAGGGUGUGAGGAUGCAAGUUAAAAUAAGAGUAUCUAAAUUGAAAUACAAUGAUAUGGCAAGUAUACAAAUGAGUAGAGAAGUGAUUGUUUGCUUGUGCCAUCUGUUAUACUUUUCUUUGAGUUUAUGUUGAGUGAUUUUUUGGAUGCAGA
rnacentral:lncRNA from 1 species